UGGCGAACUGGUGAGUAACACGUGGGAAACCUGCCCAGAAGCGGGGGAUAACACCUGGAAACAGAUGCUAAUACCGCAUAACAACUUGGACCGCAUGGUCCGAGUUUGAAAGAUGGCUUCGGCUAUCACUUUUGGAUGGUCCCGCGGCGUAUUAGCUAGAUGGUGAGGUAACGGCUCACCAUGGCAAUGAUACGUAGCCGACCUGAGAGGGUAAUCGGCCACAUUGGGACUGAGACACGGCCCAAACUCCUACGGGAGGCAGCAGUAGGGAAUCUUCCACAAUGGACGAAAGUCUGAUGGAGCAACGCCGCGUGAGUGAAGAAGGGUUUCGGCUCGUAAAACUCUGUUGUUAAAGAAGAACAUAUCUGAGAGUAACUGUUCAGGUAUUGACGGUAUUUAACCAGAAAGCCACGGCUAACUACGUGCCAGCAGCCGCGGUAAUACGUAGGUGGCAAGCGUUGUCCGGAUUUAUUGGGCGUAAAGCGAGCGCAGGCGGUUUUUUAAGUCUGAUGUGAAAGCCUUCGGCUCAACCGAAGAAGUGCAUCGGAAACUGGGAAACUUGAGUGCAGAAGAGGACAGUGGAACUCCAUGUGUAGCGGUGAAAUGCGUAGAUAUAUGGAAGAACACCAGUGGCGAAGGCGGCUGUCUGGUCUGUAACUGACGCUGAGGCUCGAAAGUAUGGGUAGCAAACAGGAUUAGAUACCCUGGUAGUCCAUACCGUAAACGAUGAAUGCUAAGUGUUGGAGGGUUUCCGCCCUUCAGUGCUGCAGCUAACGCAUUAAGCAUUCCGCCUGGGGAGUACGGCCGCAAGGCUGAAACUCAAAGGAAUUGACGGGGGCCCGCACAAGCGGUGGAGCAUGUGGUUUAAUUCGAAGCUACGCGAAGAACCUUACCAGGUCUUGACAUACUAUGCAAAUCUAAGAGAUUAGACGUUCCCUUCGGGGACAUGGAUACAGGUGGUGCAUGGUUGUCGUCAGCUCGUGUCGUGAGAUGUUGGGUUAAGUCCCGCAACGAGCGCAACCCUUAUUAUCAGUUGCCAGCAUUAAGUUGGGCACUCUGGUGAGACUGCCGGUGACAAACCGGAGGAAGGUGGGGAUGACGUCAAAUCAUCAUGCCCCUUAUGACCUGGGCUACACACGUGCUACAAUGGAUGGUACAACGAGUUGCGAACUCGCGAGAGUAAGCUAAUCUCUUAAAGCCAUUCUCAGUUCGGAUUGUAGGCUGCAACUCGCCUACAUGAAGUCGGAAUCGCUAGUAAUCGCGGAUCAGCAUGCCGCGGUGAAUACGUUCCCGGGCCUUGUACACACCGCCUCGUCACAUCCAUGAGAGUUUGUAACACCCAAAGUCGG
rnacentral:rRNA from 1 species